UCAGGCCUAACACAUGCAAGUCGAGCGGAAACGAGUUAUCUGAACCUUCGGGGAACGAUAACGGCGUCGAGCGGCGGACGGGUGAGUAACGCCUAGGAAAUUGCCCUGAUGUGGGGGAUAACCAUAGGAAACGAUGGCUAAUACCGCAUGGUGCCUACGGGCCAAAGAGGGGGACCUUCGGGCCUCUCGCGUCAGGAUAUGCCUAGGUGGGAUUAGCUAGUUGGUGAGGUAAGGGCUCACCAAGGCGACGAUCCCUAGCUGGUCUGAGAGGAUGAUCAGCCACACUGGAACUGAGACACGGUCCAGACUCCUACGGGAGGCAGCAGUGGGGAAUAUUGCACAAUGGGCGCAAGCCUGAUGCAGCCAUGCCGCGUGUGUGAAGAAGGCCUUCGGGUUGUAAAGCACUUUCAGUCGUGAGGAAGGUAGUGUAGUUAAUAGCUGCAUUAUUUGACGUUAGCGACAGAAGAAGCACCGGCUAACUCCGUGCCAGCAGCCGCGGUAAUACGGAGGGUGCGAGCGUUAAUCGGAAUUACUGGGCGUAAAGCGCAUGCAGGUGGUUUGUUAAGUCAGAUGUGAAAGCCCGGGGCUCAACCUCGGAAUAGCAUUUGAAACUGGCAGACUAGAGUACUGUAGAGGGGGGUAGAAUUUCA
rnacentral:rRNA from 1 species